CCAACGCCUUAUCUAUUUCCCAAAAGAAAUUUUGGCUCCUUCUCAAAAAAAAAAAAAAAAAAUCAUUUUUGCUCAAAUAUUUCACUACCGCUUUCCCAUAACUCAAAACCCUAGAUCUCAAUUUUAUUACUCAAUCUCCCCCUCAUUCUCUUUUUCUCCUCAAUCUCACUCUCACCAUCGCUCACCACCGAUCUGUUCACCACAUGUUCCCACAAUCUCACUGAAUCGCAGAACUCACCACAAUCUCACUCAAUCGCAGAAUCUCAGUUCCCAUGAUUUCAGCAAAAUCACUCAAUCGUUCGUUCGUUUCACCACCAGCCAUUCGCAGAACUUCAAUCGUUCAUCUCAGUUCCCGCAAUUUCACUCUAAAUCACUGUCACAACCCUCGCAUAUCACUACCCAUCCGUUCGUAUUACCCUCGAAUAUCACUCUCAGUCGCAGAACUUCAAUCAACUUCUAUUUUACUGCUCUGCGAUCUCUGUUCUGUGCAAAUGGGUUUCAUUGUCGGGUUUUUCUGUCUUUUGUAGUUAUUCAGCCGUCCUACUUUACAUUUUAAAGGUUAAGAAUGUACCUAUUCCAAAUGGUGAACCUCAAAAACCAGUAGGCAUGUAGCCAAGUCUCUAACAAUAAGACUCUAGGGAGUUGAUUCUACAACAACAACUAAAGCAUGUGUAAUAUUGAAGUUCAACAACGGUUGAGGUAAAGGGCUUCGGAACGUUGAUAUCUGACUCACGGUGGUGGGAGAGAACUUGAAGUGGUUAUGAAAGUGAAGUUAAUUUAGGAGGAGGUUUUAGGGAUCUUUCAAAACUUCCAACGCUGUUUCAAAGGUUAUUUUGGAGGGUUACAACGGUUGAGUAUAAGUCGAUUCUGCUACAAGUUUGCAAAUAAGGUUCAUGUAGCAGUGUGUGGCAAAAACUCUCCCGAAGUUAGGAUACUCAACUGAUAAAGAUCUUAAAGAUGGGAGUCUGUUUCAUAAAAUCUUGUGUUUUCCUUGUUUGAUUUUGUAACAUUUUUGUGGAUUCAUAUGAAUGGGAUUUAGAUAUUUUUAGUUAUA